CACAUCUGCAAGAUGACAUUACAAUUACAUCUCUGAAGGACACCUUUGGCACCCAGAGUCAACUACUUAGUACGAUGAGUGUCAUUAUUGAGGUAGCACCUUAAUCAUCGUGUCAUGAAUCCAAAGCAGAGUCAGUUUGAUUGGAUGAUGGCUGAUUGUGAUGGCUGGAACCAAGAAAAACACAUCUGCAUGAUGACAUUACAAUUACAUCUCUGAAGGACACCUUUUACACCCGAAGUCAACCACUUAGUACGAUGAGUGUAACUAUUGAGGUAGUGCCUUAAUCAUCAGUGUCAUGUUCUCACUAUGACCUGAAUCCGAAGCAGAGUCAACUAUAUUGGACGAAUGGCUGAUUGGGAUGACUGGAAACAAGACUGAACGUGAAGAAGAAACCCAAAACUAACCUAAACUGUUACCUGCUAUUUGGCUCAAGAUCCGCACGAAUUUGCCUGGAAGUGUUUGAUCAAGACAGAUGUGACAUGCUAUCAACAAGGAUAAACAACUUGUACGACAUGUGAUUAUGGAACCGUAAGCUUCCUUUUUAAAUUUUUCAUGGAUUGAGUCAAACUAUUAAUUUGCAUAUUCCCUAUGACGCCAGGCUAUAUUGCUCCCUUAACCGCCUUACCCACAAUGGGCCACGAGACUUCCACUUUUCUCUUAGCUACAUGACGGGUGCAGUUGUUAAUUUCUGUGUCCACAGAUUUUCUGAUAAGUAAAACCUUGACAUUCAGCGUCAAGCUCUGACGAGUCUUCAUCGGCUCAGACAAGAGCAAGCAACAACGAGGGGGCCUCCCGUGGGACCAGUGGGCACCAGGGGACUGCUCUGUCGGCGGUCUUUGCCCCAAAAGGGGAAAAUGAUGCAGCUGAUGGCUCUCUCGGGGUGUCAACCCACCUCAAUGCCUGUUAAGCGCUGAUGGGGCACAUUGCCCUCCAGCACUCUCCGGCACAGAUAACGGCGCAAGCCAUCCUGGUUUGUACCACAACGCUAUGGUCAUGGCGUAUGUCAACAACCAGGGGGGCAUCCGGCCGAUGCCUCUCUUGGGGUUGGAUUGUCACAACAGAAUAAUCCCCUGCCCUCGGUCGGCCCAUUCGCUCUUUCAGUUGAAUGACCGGCUCCCGUGUGUGCCUGUCACAUAGCAGUUGUGUGGGGCCAGGAACAUCUUUUACCCAACCUCAAUGCCUGGAAAUGCUGACAGGGCCCAAUGCCCUCCAACACUUUGGGGCACAGGUAAUGGGGCAGGUCAUCCUGGUCAUUUCAUAACGCUAUGGUCAUGGUGUUUGUCUACCACCAGGGGGCAUCCAGUCAGACCAGGGGGCACCAAGGGACAACACUGUCGGCGGUCUACAUCCCAAGAGGGGAGAAUGUUUCAGUGGAUGCCUCUCUCGGGUUGAAUUGUCCUGACAGAAUAAUCCCCUGGCCCUUGCUGGCCAAGUUGCUCUUUCAGUCGAUUGACCGGCUCCCAUGUUUGCCUGUCUUAAAGCAGUGCUAUAGGGCCAAAGACAUCUUUCAACCCGCCUCAAUGCCUGGAAAAUCUGACAGGGCGCAAUACCCUCCAGCAGUUUCGGGCACAGAUAAUGGGGCAAGUCAUCCUGGUACGCUUCAUAACGCUAUGGUCAUGGCGUAUGUCAACCACCAGGGGGCAACUGGUUGGACCAGGGGGCACCAGGGGACCGCUCUGUCGAUGGCCUACAUCCCAAAAAGGGGAGAAUGUUGCGGCCGAAGCCUCUCUUGGGUUUGGAUAGUCACAACAGAAUGGUCCCCCGCACCUGGCCUGGGUGGCCAAGUCGCUCUUUCAGUCGACAACUGGCUCCCGUGUUUGCCUGUCACAUAGCAGUGGUGUUGGGCCAGGAACAUCUUUCAACCCACCUCAAUGCCUGGAAAUGCUGACAGGGCGCAAUGCCCUCCAGCACUUUCGGUCGCAGAUAACGGGGCAAGCCAUCCUGGUAUGUUCCAACACUGCUAUGGUCAUGGCAGAUGUCAACCAUCAGGGGGCAUCCGUUCAGACCAAGGGGCACAAGGGGACCGCUCUGUUGGCGGUCUACAUCCCAAAAGGGGAGAAUGUUGUGGCCAGUGCAUCUCCUGAGGUUGGAUUGUCACAACAGAAUGGUCCCCUGCCCCCUUUUGGCCUAGUCACUCUUUCAGUCGAUUGAUCGGCUCCCAUGUUUGCCUGUCACAUAGCAGUUGUGUGGGCCAGGAACAUCUUUUAACCCACCUCAAUGCCUGGAAAUGCUGACAGGGCACAAUGCCCUCCAACACUUUCGGGCACAGAUAAUGGGGCAAGUCAUCCUGGUACGUUUCAUAACGCUAUGGUCGUGGCAUACGUCAACCACAACCACCAGGGGGCAUCUGGUCUGACCAGGGGGCACCAGGGGACCACUUUGUUGGCGGUCUACAUCCCAAGAGGGGAGAAUGUUGCGGCCGAUGCCUCUCUUUGGGUUUGAUUGUCACCACAGAAUGAUCCACACCCCUGGAUAGCCCAGUCGCUCUUUCAGUGGAUCAACUGGCUCCAAUGUUUGCCUGUCACAGCAGUGGUGUGGGGCCAGGAACAUCUUUCAACCCGCCUCAAUGCCUGGAAAAGCUGACAGGGCGCAAUAGCCUCCAGCACUUUCGGGCACAGAUAAUGGGGCAAGUCAUCCUGGUAUGUUUCAUAACGCUAUGGUCAUGGUG